rnacentral:lncRNA from 1 species
CUAACUUAGGCCCUUUUGCCCUUCCAACUUCCACAUAUGAGGAUACAGCAUUCAUGCCCUCCAGAGGACACAAGGUACCACCUUAGAAGCAAGGAACAGAGCCCCUUACCAGACACAAAAUGUGCCUGUGCCUUGACCCUGGACUCCUCAGCCUCCAGAACGAAAAACUGAAAAAAAAAAAUUCCAAAUGAAGAAAAACAGUUGAUCCUAGACUCAUUGCCCAGAGGAAGACUAUGAACAUUCCACAUGAAGAAAAACAGUGGCUCCUAGACUCAUUGCCCAGAGGAAGACUAUGAACAUUCCACAUGAAGAAAAACAGUUGAUCCUAGACUCAUUGCCCAGAGGAGGACUAUGAACAUUCCAAAUGAAGAAAAACAGUGGCUCCUAGACUCAUUGCCCAGAGGAAGACUAUGAACAUUCCACAUGAAGAAAAACAGUUGAUCCUAGACUCAUUGCCCAGAGGAGGACUAUGAACAUUCCAAAUGAAGAAAAACAGUGGAUCCUAGACUCAUCGCCCAGAGAAAGACUAUGAACAUUUUAGCACGUCUCC